rnacentral:rRNA from 1 species
GACGAACGCUGGCGGCGUGCUUAACACAUGCAAGUCGAACGCUGAAGGCCUGGCUGUUGUUGGGUUGGGUGAGUGGCGAACGGGUGAGUAACACGUGAGUAACCUGCCCUCUUCUUUGGGAUAACGCCCGGAAACGUGUUCUAAUACUGGAUAUUCACUGGCCUGCGCAUGGGGGUUGGUGGAAAGGCUUGUUCUGGUGGGGGAUGGGCUCGCGGCCUAUCAGGUUGUUGGUGGGUAUAUGGACUACCAAGGCUGUGACGGGUCGGAGGCCGGAGAGGGUGACCGGGCACAUUGGGAAUGGGAUACGGCCCAGACUCCUGCGGGAGGCAGCAGUGGGGGACAUUGCGCAAUGGGCGAAAGCAUGAUGCCGCGACGUGGCGUGAGGGAUGGCGGCCUUCGGGGUGUAAAACUCUUGCGCUAAUGGUAGAGCCGCAACAGUGGGUUGUGGUGAGGGUAGUGGGUAAAGAAGCGCCGGCUAACUACGUG